rnacentral:tRNA from 1 species
GAGGGUACAGCUCAGUGGCAGAGUGUAUGCUUAGCAUGCACGAGGUCCUGGGCUCAAUCCCCAGUACCUCCA